rnacentral:rRNA from 1 species
GAUGAACGCUGGCGGCGUGCCUAAUACAUGCCAGUCGAGCGAACAGACGAGGAGCUUGCUCCUCUGACGUUAGCGGCGGACGGGUGAGUAACACGUGGAUAACCUACCUAUAAGACUGGGAUAACUUCGGGAAACCGGAGCUAAUACCGGAUAAUAUAUUGAACCGCAUGGUUCAAUAGUGAAAGACGGUUUUGCUGUCACUUAUAGAUGGAUCCGCGCCGCAUUAGCUAGUUGGUAAGGUAACGGCUUACCAAGGCAACGAUGCGUAGCCGACCUGAGAGGGUGAUCGGCCACACUGGAACUGAGACACGGUCCAGACUCCUACGGGAGGCAGCAGUAGGGAAUCUUCCGCAAUGGGCGAAAGCCUGACGGAGCAACGCCGCGUGAGUGAUGAAGGUCUUCGGAUCGUAAAACUCUGUUAUUAGGGAAGAACAAAUGUGUAAGUAACUAUGCACGUCUUGACCGUACCUAAUCAGAAAGCCACGGCUAACUACGUG